ensembl:lncRNA
AUGAAGCGGCAGCCAAUUGUAGAAAAAACACCACAGUAUGAUUCAAAUAUGACCGAUUAUAUUUAUAGUGUGUGUGUGUGUGUGUGUGUGUGUGUGUGUGUGUGUGUGUGUGUGUGUGUGUGUGUGUGUGUGUGUGUGUGUGUGUGUGUGUGUGUGUGUGUGUGUGUGUGUGUGUGUGCGCGCGCAGCCAUGACAGUUAAGUGUCGCUGGUGUCAUAUUUGUGCAAAGGAGGAGUUGGGGAACAUCAUACCGGAUCAUCUUGAGCAACUUCUGCCUGAGGGUCACUGCAAUUUCAUUUGCAAAUACACACCCCUGGAGAGGGGUUUCACAGCCUCCUUAAAGCUUCAACUGGCCACCAGAGAGGAGGCAGAGACCUGGUUGGAGGACUUCCAACGGUCAUCAAGAGUGACCUUAAGAGUGGACAAAACGUAUCCUAUGACAGAGGAUAAAGUUCGGCGCAACAGCUAUCGAGUUGACAUGAGAUGCCAACUCAAGACAAGGCAGACGGCUUACACCAAAAGAAACACACACUGUCCCGCUGGGCUCUACCUUGUGUUGAAAAAGCACUGCCAUAGGGAUAACAGGAAGUCCAGAUCUAUUGAUACUCAUAUUCAGGAGGGAUUAUUGUUGCAUGUGACCAUCAAACAUCACCACAACCACCGCCUUGGUGGUUCCGAAUCCUUACAGCAGGGGGAUGUGGCCAGAGAGACCGUGGAGAAGCUGGUGAAACUUUUUCAGAGUGGGCACUCCCCCUUCUCAGCCCUAAACAUCCUGAAAUAUGACCUCCAGGAGGAGCAGGGGGAUUCAUGUGUGCAUGCCUCUGCAGAUAGUUCCAUUUGUCCAGACGUCCAAUUCUGCUACCGAUUAUACUACUCCAUUUUCAAGAAGGAGUAUGGAGCUGUAUCAGGGGAUGCCAUGCUUGAAAACCUCCAGGAACGUCUGGAGGUUUACAACAAGGAACAGUGUGAGACACGCACCCAAGAACAAGCUGGAACAACCGCUCCCCCAACCCCACUAGACGGCUCUGCCUCUGCAGGAGCGUCCUCUCAAAGUGAGUUGGUUGCUGAGUGUCUCAAAGGUCGUCUCAGAUCCAUGUUUGAUGGCCUCAUGGACAAGCUUGAAAAGGAUCAUGAGACCUUCCAAGCCCCAAUAGAAUCCCUAGUGUCAUCCUUUGAUAAAAUCCAUACUGACAGCGGCCUGGUCUCAGCACUGUCUACAUUUGGGAAGCUGAGGAGUGCUGCUGUGCGAAACAUCAAAAUGCAGCCAAGAAAAGGUCUGGAAAUGAGCUCACAAAGAGGCGUGCAGCCUACCGGUGAUGCUCGCCGUAAGACUCUGCUGGGGGGCAGACGGGUACUCAUCACUGGUCGACCUCCAAAAAGAGCCCUGAGGGAAUACAAGUAUGGGAAGGUUAAAGAGGGGAGUGGUGCACUGCCAAGGAGACCGGCACCACACACCAUUGCCCAGUGUGUCUCUGCUGGUGUUUCCCUAGGUGGCCAACACAGCAAAGAAUAUAAUGAUUAAGUGUGUUUAGUGCGUCGCGACGUAGGUCGCAUUGGUCGCGACGUAGGUCGCUCGUGUGGCUGCUUUCAGUCGCUGUGGUCGCUGGCUGACUUGGUCGCUCAAAAUCUAUGGGCGGUCGUUUAUCAGUUGAUUUGCAUGUUAAGGUAAUUUAACGUUUUUUUUGCGACAGUUGAAGUACCAGAAAGCCUUGCUCUCUGGCGAAAGCUUCCUACAGCUCUUUAUUGCAAAUAUUAUUUUUAUAUUUUUAUAUUGAGGUAGGCCUACAGUUUAAAAUGAUGAAAUCGUUGGUCUAUCAGUGUCAAUAAAAUAUAUUAGUUGUAAUUUGGGGCGGGUUCAAAUAAUCUAUUUUAGAUAUCAUAUAGCCUAUUUGUUUUGUUAAAUGACAGUAAGCCUAAUAAGGUAUAUUAUACACAAAGUGUGCUUUCCAGAGGUAUGCAACACUGUUUAUUCUUUUUUUAAUUUUUAUCAUCAUAAUACUCACUCUGACACACACACACACACACACACACACACACACACACACACACACACACACACACACACACACACACAAAAGGUUCAUAAUAAAUAAAAUCUGUCAUAUUUGAAUCGUACUGUGUUGUCUUUUCUACAAUUGGCUGACUGCUGCUUCAUUCAUAUGUUGUAGCCAAAUAACUUGGGCAUAAUAGUUUCAUUAAAUAGUUUAUAUUAAGCAGGCAGAAUGCAAGUUAGGACCAACACAUCUUUCGUCACCUCAGGGAGUCAACUCUGUUGACUGUUCUCUUAAUCGUUGGCCUACUGCUUAUUUGCUGGUUGGGGAAAACUUGGAGCCUAAUUGUUAGAUUGUGGUAAAUGUUACUCAACUGCAGUGUAGUCAUUACAUUUCUCGCUGCUUUCCAUUGUUCCCUCUGUGUAAUUGUGUGUAUUAUUAUUUAAUGGACCCUUACGUCAAAGCUGAUCAUAAUUAUGAUGUAGGCUAUCACUAGAUUGUCUAGAUUAUGGACUGACCUGCACUGCACACAGCUGGGCAAAAUGUUUGUAUGAUUUAGUACGAUGGUAUGAUAAUUAUACGACGUAAUGACGGGCUGCGACGCCUGGCUGGUAUCGGCUGGCUGGCUGCGACGACUGGCCAGCCUUGGCUGGCCGCUGUCUGCCGCUGGCCACUGGCCGCUGGCUGCGGCUGGCAGCUGGCUCUGGCAGGCUGACCGACUAGGUCGGUCAGCCGUUGUUAUUUAUUGGUCAACAUGGAAAAAACAUGAGGGGUAACUCUGUCGGUUUUUAUCGGCCAUCAUGAAAUAAACAUAAGUGGUAACACUGUUGUUUUUAUCAAAUGAAACAUGAGGGGUAACACUGUCGAUAUUUAUCAAAUAAAGCAUGGGGGUAACACUGUUGUUUUUUUAUUGGUCGUCAUGAAUAAAAACAUAAGGGGUAAUAGGCUACUGUUGUUUUUUAAUUGGUCGUCAUGAAAAAAAACACAAGGGGUAACACUGUCGUUUUUAUCAAAUGAAACAUGAGGGGUAACACUGUCGUUUUUAUCAAAUGAAACAUAAGGGGUAACACUGUCGUUUUUUAUCGGCCGUCAUGAAAAAAACAUAAGGGGUAACACUGUCGAUAUUUAUCUAUUAAAACAUAGGGGGUAACACUGUCGUUUUCAUCAAAUGAAACAUGAGGGGUGACACUGACAUUUUCCUUUGGUCGUCAUGAAAAAAAACAUAAGAGGUAACACUGUGGUUUUUUAUUGGCCGUCAUGAAAAAAAACAGUUUUUUUUUUUUAUUGGUCGUAAUGAAAAAAAACAUAAAUGGUAACACUGUUGUCUUUGUCAAAUAAAAUAUAAGGGGUAACACU